rnacentral:lncRNA from 1 species
CUUUUGACCCGCUACUAAUGUGAGCAUUAGUUCCGGGUCUACCCAGGAGCCCCUGUGACCCCCUUUAGUACCAGGUGGAGGCUCCACCCGGUACUAAUGUGCCUGAGGGCCUUUAAUACUGGACCACCCGGUACUAAUGGGUGACCUUUAGUACGGUACCAAAGGAGCUCCACUCUCCUUAUCCGUUCCCCCUCCCUCCCUCUCUCACUCUCGGCCCACGUGCUGGCCUUCUCCCUCUCUCAGCUCAUUCCC